AUUGAACGCUGGCGGAAUGCUUUACACAUGCAAGUCGAACGGCAGCACGGACUUCGGUCUGGUGGCGAGUGGCGAACGGGUGAGUAAUGUAUCGGAACGUGCCCAGUCGUGGGGGAUAACGUAGUGAAGAUUACGCUAAUACCGCAUACGAUCUAUGGAUGAAAGCGGGGGAUCGCAAGACCUCGCGCGAUUGGAGCGGCCGAUAUCAGAUUAGGUAGUUGGUGGGGUAAAGGCCCACCAAGCCAACGAUCUGUAGCUGGUCUGAGAGGACGACCAGCCACACUGGAACUGAGACACGGUCCAGACUCCUACGGGAGGCAGCAGUGGGGAAUUUUGGACAAUGGGCGAAAGCCUGAUCCAGCCAUUCCGCGAGCAGAAUGAAGGCCCUCGGGUUGUAAACUGCUUUUGUACAGAACGAAAAGGUUUCUACUAAUACUAGGAGCUCAUGACGGUACUGUAAGAAUAAGCACCGGCUAACUACGUGCCAGCCGCCGCUGUAA
rnacentral:rRNA from 1 species